AGCGGGGCUGGGCGGGGCUCGGGGAUCCCUGGCACCUCGCGGAUGGCUGCGCGGCGGGAGGGAAGGAAGUAGCCGUCCGUCCGCGCCUUUGUCCCACGGGCCCUGGUGGCUUCCUGACCCUCUUGGGGCACAGAGCCCACUGGAAAUCCUGUCUCUUCUGCCUGAGCGCAGCGGCCGCUUCCCCUCUCUUGAUCUUGGCAGUACCUGGUUAGGAGGCCUGAGACGCUUUGCCAGACUUGGGGCUGGGCUGAGCGUUUAAACCAAGUCGGGGCUCUGGGGACUGAUCUGAGGGGCACAGCCCCGCCCACGUGCCUGUCAGGCCACCGGGGGACGGGGGCAGGCGCUCCGUGCCACCAGUGUCCAAGUGCAGCUACCAGGUAGAGACGAGUGCCUGUCUUGACCUCGUCGUGACCUGCGGCUGUGUCACCCUGGGGGGGUCCCAGCCCCCUGAGCGUCCCGUGGGGAGCCAGGAUUGGCCUCAGACCGGCCUGGCCCUGACUGGCCAACGAACUGUCCUGCAGGCCAGCGGAGCCUGCACCACCGCGGAGAUGCCCUGGAGACGCUGGUCCUCCUGAACCCGUCAGACAAGUCCCUGUGUGAUGAGCGGUGGGGCCGGGCUGUAGCUCCCGGCUGUGGCUCCUGGCUCUUCUGGCAGCUUCUCCUUGGGAGGAGGAAGAGGAGGUGCCCUGGGAACCCCUUUAGACGCUGAGCUCUUUUACUCCCUUGAGGGGCUCUCCGGCCAGAGGAGGAGCACAGCCAGCCCCAGAUGGCAGGCGACAGCUCCGGAACCUUCUGCUGGUCCCUGCCCCUCAUAAGCUGCUGGUGCUGGCCGGGCCCUGCCUGGAGGAGACCGGGGAGCUGCUGCUGCAGACGGGUGGCUUCUCGUUCCACCACUUUCUGCAGGUCCUGGACGAGAGGGAGAUCCAGGACCUGUUGGGCCACACC
rnacentral:lncRNA from 1 species